UCCCCAGCGGCAGUGUAUGUCCUUAGGAGAGGAGACAGUUGGUCCCUCUCCCCAGCAGUCCAGUGAGUCCCAGGGAGCUGAAGGUGCCGUCCUUCCUCCCCAGCGGCAGUGUGUGUCCUUAGGAGAGGAGACAGCUGGUCUCUCUCCCCAGCAGUCCAGUGAAUUACAAGGAGACAAAGGUGCCGUCCUUCCUCCCCAGCGGCAGUGUGAGUUCUUGGGAGAGGAGACAGUCGGUCCCUCUCCCCAGCAGUCAAGCGUGUCCCAGGGAGCCGAAGGUGCCGUCCUUCCUCCCCAGCAGCAGUGUGUCCGGCAGGGAGCAGAGACAGU